GAUGAACGCUGGCGGUAUGCUUAACACAUGCAAGUCGAACGGUACCUUCGGGUAUAGUGGCGGACGGGUGAGUAACGCGUGAGAAUCUUUCUUCAUGUCUGGGCUACCUAUAAGAAUUGACUAAUAUCACGGAACCGGCGCAAAGAUAAAAGAUUUAUUGCCUCAACAUGAGUCCACGUUAGAUUAGCUAGUAGGUGUCGUAAGUAACUACCUAGGCUUCGAUCUAUAGCUGGUCUGAGAGGACGAUCAGCCACACUGGAACGGAGACACGGUCCAGACUCCUACGGGAGGCAGCAGUGGGGAAUUUUCCGCAAUGGGCGAAAGCCUGACGGAGCAAUACCGCGUGAGGGACGAAGGCUCUUGGGUCGUAAACCUCUUUUCUCAAGGAAGAUUCAGACGGUACUUGAGGAAUAAGCAUCGGCUAACUCGGUG
rnacentral:rRNA from 1 species